GGAGCAGUUGGUAGCUCAGUGGUUGAGUGCAUGCUUUGUGUGUAUGACGUCCGGUUCAAAUCCCAGCUGCUCCC